UCCGGUUUGUCACCGGCAGUCUCAUUAGAGUGCCCAACUAAAUGUAGCAACUAAUGACAAGGGUUGCGCUCGUUGCGGGACUUAACCCAACAUCUCACGACACGAGCUGACGACAACCAUGCACCACCUGUCUCCUCUGUCCCGAAGGAAAGCCCUAUCUCUAGAGCGGUCAGAGGGAUGUCAAGACCUGGUAAGGUUCUUCGCGUUGCUUCGAAUUAAACCACAUACUCCACUGCUUGUGCAGGUCCCCGUCAAUUCCUUUGAGUUUCAACCUUGCGGCCGUACUCCCCAGGCGGAAUGCUUAAUGCGUUAGCUGCGCCACUGGAUAGCAAGCUACCCAACGGCUAGCAUUCAUCGUUUACGGCGUGGACUAC
rnacentral:misc_RNA from 1 species